rnacentral:rRNA from 1 species
AGUGAACGCUGGCGGUAGGCCUAACACAUGCAAGUCGAACGGCAGCACAGUAAGAGCUUGCUCUUACGGGUGGCGAGUGGCGGACGGGUGAGGAAUACAUCGGAAUCUACUUUUUCGUGGGGGAUAACGUAGGGAAACUUACGCUAAUACCGCAUACGACCUACGGGUGAAAGCAGGGGAUCUUCGGACCUUGCGCGUUUGAAUGAGCCGAUGUCGGAUUAGCUAGUUGGCGGGGUAAAGGCCCACCAAGGCGACGAUCCGUAGCUGGUCUGAGAGGAUGGUCGGCCACACUGGAACUGAGACACGGUCCAGACUCCUACGGGAGGCAGCAGUGGGGAAUAGUGGACAAUGGGCGCAAGCCUGAUCCAGCCAUACCGCGUGGGUGAAGAAGGCCUUCGGGUUGUAAAGCCCUUUUGUUGGGAAAGAAAAGCAGCAGGUUAAUACCCCGCUGUUCUGACGGUACCCAAAGAAUAAGCACCGGCUAACUUCGUG